UUGUUGAUCACAACAAGCUGUGGUGUUCAUUGGACACUUCCUACAAAGGAAGGUGGGGAAAUUGUGUUUUGAGACCGAAAUAACUACGUCAGUAUCCGCGCCGAUGAUUCACUGGCCACAGUUUACAAGCUAUCAUAUUAUUCAAGAUAUCAGCAGCCAAAGUAAAGAAGAUCAGGGAACUGGAGAAAUGUGUUGAACGGGACGUGAUCCAGCCAUAAUAAAAAUAAAAAAUAAAUAAUAAAUAAUGAUUGUAGAGUGCACUCCUUUGCCAGAUCUCAGCACUUAGCCUUGCGAUAUUAGGGAGUUAACGAAAAUCACGACGACAGCUGCGACGGGAACGUUGCUAAACAAAAGGUUUAAUGAGUUGUG